rnacentral:rRNA from 1 species
UGCAAGUCGAACGAUGAACCUCCUCCGGGAGGGGAAGAGUGGCGAACGGGUGAGUAACACGUGGGCAAUCUGCCCUGCACUCUGGGAUAACUCCGGGAAACCGGAGCUAAUACCGGAUACGACUCUCCAGGGCAUCCUGGGGGGUGGAAAGCUCCGGCGGUGCAGGAUGAGCCCGCGGCCUAUCAGCUGGUUGGUGGGGUGACGGCCCACCAAGGCGACGACGGGUAGCCGGCCUGAGAGGGCGACCGGCCACACUGGGACUGAGACACGGCCCAGACUCCUACGGGAGGCAGCAGUGGGGAAUAUUGCACAAUGGGCGCAAGCCUGAUGCAGCGACGCCGCGUGAGGGAUGACGGCCUUCGGGUUGUAAACCUCUUUCAGCAGGGAAGAAGCGGAAGUGACGGUACCUGCAGAAGAAGCACCGGCUAACUACGUGCCAGCAGCCGCGGUAAU